UGGGGAGUCGGCUAAUGGCAAGCCUCUGGCUUUUGGUGCCAGCUAUCUCGGUUCGAGUCCGGGCUCCCCAG
rnacentral:tRNA from 1 species